GGAAUAUUGGACAAUGGGUGAAAGCCUGAUCCAGCCAUCCCGCGUGAAGGAUGACGGUCCUAUGGAUUGUAAACUUCUUUUGUAUAGGGAUAAACCUAGAUACGUGUAUCUAGCUGAAGGUACUAUACGAAUAAGCACCGGCUAACUCCGUGCCAGCAGCCGCGGUAAUACGGAGGGUGCAAGCGUUAUCCGGAUUUAUUGGGUUUAAAGGGUCCGUAGGCGGACCGAUAAGUCAGUGGUGAAAUCUCAUAGCUUAACUAUGAAACUGCCAUUGAUACUGUCGGUCUUGAGUAAAUUAGAGGUAGCUGGAAUAAGUAGUGUAGCGGUGAAAUGCAUAGAUAUUACUUAGAACACCAAUUGCGAAGGCAGGUUACCAUGAUUUAACUGACGCUGAGGGACGAAAGCGUGGGUAGCGAACAGGAUUAGAUACCCGUG
rnacentral:rRNA from 1 species